rnacentral:ncRNA from 2 species
UGGAGCCUGCGGCUUAAUUUG